GAUCACAAGACACAUGGACUCUUACCCCAACAGGUAUCUGAGUAAACAAGUAGUCUUGUUCUGGUUUCUUUUACUCUAUAUCUCCCUUCUCUGAAUCCUUUUUAUCUCAAUUCCAAUGAACAAAGAUGCUGAUGCAGUCCAUCUUAUUCACCUUCUUUUCGAUUUUUAUUAUUAUUAUUAUUGUUAUUUUUUUAUUUUCUUUUUCUUGACAAAGUGUAGGCGAAUAGUAGGGUCAUCGGUAAUGUACCUACCCCUCACUUUCAACAAUGUGUGAUCAUUCUCUUAGAGUAGAAUAAUGAGGUCAUCGGUAAUGUACCUACCCCUCUAAACCGCAAGAAAUCAUCUCAAUCUUUUAUUUUAUUUUAUUAGGAUGCCAAAGGGAGGAGAUAAGGAAACCAAAAUCACUCAGACUUUUACCUUUCAAACCUGAAGGAGGAAUCUGAUCCAGUGUAUACCAAGCUCCAAGACAAGCAGUUAAGUCAAAUUAGGUUGGAGGUCAGCUUCGGUUCCUUCAAACAAUCUCAGCAAGUGUGAACAUAGUUGACUAGUUGAUCCACUUUAGUAUCUUUAGUACUAUCUGCAAUCAGUAAAUCUAGAAUGGUGCUAAAGAAUGGUUAGAUAACAUGCAUGAAUCUAAUAAGUUCAUUAUCCCCUUCUUGACUCAAUAAAAACAGUUUUGAAAACAUUUUAUAAAACUAAAUAGAUAAACAAAUAUCAGUAAACAUCCCCCCCAAACUUAAAUUGCACUGCCCCUAGUGUAUAUAUAUCUAGUCGGAGUUAUGGUUAGAACAUAAAUAAUAAGUAGACAAUUUAACAAGUAAGAACGAUAACCUGCUCGACAUCAGUAUCGAUCGACACAAUGAAUAGACAAUCGAUCGAUGUUGAUGAAGUGAUGUCGAUUGAUAGUGGCAUGGUCUCAUCGGUCGAUGGCUAGUGCAAUCAUUCGACACAAUGAAGAGACAAUCGAUUGUUGGAUAUGAAGCGCUGUCUAUCGAUAUCGAGCC
rnacentral:lncRNA from 1 species